CUGGCGGCGUGCCUAAUACAUGCAAGUCGAACGCACUCUCGUUUAGAUUGAAGGAGCUUGCUCCUGAUUGAUAACAUUGAGUGAGUGGCGGACGGGUGAGUAACACGUGGGUAACCUGCCCUAAAGUGGGGGAUAACAUUUGGAAACAGAUGCUAAUACCGCAUAAAACCUAACACCGCAUGGUGUAGGGUUGAAAGAUGGUUUCGGCUAUCACUUUAGGAUGGACCCGCGGUGCAUUAGUUAGUUGGUGAGGUAAAGGCUCACCAAGACCGUGAUGCAUAGCCGACCUGAGAGGGUAAUCGGCCACACUGGGACUGAGACACGGCCCAGACUCCUACGGGAGGCAGCAGUAGGGAAUCUUCCACAAUGGACGAAAGUCUGAUGGAGCAACGCCGCGUGAGUGAAGAAGGUUUUCGGAUCGUAAAACUCUGUUGUUGGAGAAGAAUGUAUCUGAUAGUAACUGAUCAGGUAGUGACGGUAUCCAACCAGAAAGCCACGGCUAACUACGUG
rnacentral:rRNA from 1 species